AACGAACGCUGGCGGCAUGCCUAACACAUGCAAGUCGAACGAGACCUUCGGGUCUAGUGGCGCACGGGUGCGUAACGCGUGGGAACCUGCCCUUAGGUUCGGAAUAACUCCCCGAAAGGGGUGCUAAUACCGGAUAAUGUCUUCGGACCAAAGAUUUAUCGCCUUUGGUUGGGCCCGGGUUGGAUUAGCUAGUUGGUAGGGUAAAAGCCUACCAAGGCGACGAUCCAUAGCUGGUCUGAGGGGAUGAUCAGCCAAACUGGGAAUGAGAAACGGCCCAGACUCCGACGGGGGGGAGCAGUGGGGAAGAUGGGAAAAUGGGCGAAAGCCUGACCCAGCAAGGCCGGGGGAGUGAUGAAGGCUUUGGGGUGGUAAAGCUCUUUUCCCCGGGAUGAUAAUGAAAGUACCGGGAGAAAAAGCUCCGGCUAACUCCGU
rnacentral:rRNA from 1 species